ACAAACAGAUCGUUUGAAACGUAUUUUCUCCAUACAUAUAGAAUGUAGUAUUAGAAUGUUGUUUAAUUUCGUAGUAAUUUAACCUCAACUCGGUCACCUAUUUAACGAACAAGUCCAUUAUGCAUACUGCGCGUUGUGUUUAAAUAAUAAUUACAUCUUUAACAGACAAAUACAGUGUGUAAUAUUUGAAUAUUUAGCGCGCAUUUUCAUUUGUUCAAGUAAGUCACCGUACAUCACAUAACCGCUAUAAGUGACAUUGUCGCUGUAGUCUAUUUUGGGUUAACGUUGGUCGGUACGUAAGAACGUGUUUAGAAAUUGUGAAUAAGAAGAGAAAAGGCUGUUGGAAUGGAGCCUAUAUCUGCAACACUUCAUCAGGAGAGAUGCCCACAUUGUGUCAACAAAGGAACACAUAUCUCUCGUGGUCGCCCUCGAAUACAAGCAAUACAAUAGCCAAUAAUCAGAAUAUGCGAUUCGACCACAGAAGACAUCCGCAGAUGAUUUGUAGGUCCCAAGGGAGGAUUCUCACUUGUGUCCGAGGAAUGUCUCACAAUACCAUCUUAACCCGCAAUCGUGCAUAAAACUAAUGACACAUAUCUCUCGUGGUCGCCCUCGAAUACAAGCAAUACAAUAGCCAAUAAUCAGAAUAUGCGAUUCGACCACAGAAGACAUCCGCAGAUGAUUUGUAGGUCCCAAGGGAGGAUUCUCACUUGUGUCCGAGGAAUGUCUCACAAUACCAUCUUAACCCGCAAUCGUGCAUAAAACUAAUGACACAUAUCUUUCGUAGCGGCCCACGAAUACAAGCAGUGCAAUCGAAAAUAACCAGAAUAUGCGGUUCGAUGACUCUGAUAACAUCUGUAAAUCAUUUAUCGGUCCCAAGGAAGGAUAUUCACUUAUGUCCGGGAAACAUCUGACUACCAUCUUCACCCGUAAUCGUUCAUUAUACUAAUAACACAGAUCUUUCGUAGCGGCCCACGGAUACAAGCAGUACAAUUGACAGUAACCAGAACAUGCGGUUUGAUUUCUGAGGACAUCCGCUGAUGAUAUAUGGGCCCAAAGAAAGAGUAUUCACUUGUGUCUAAGGAACAUCUAAUUACCAUGCUCACCAACAAUCGUUCAUUAUAAUUAUAACACAGAUCUUUCGUAGCGGCCCACGGAUACAAGCAGUACAAUUGACAGUAACCAGAACAUGCGGUUUGAUUUCUGAGGACAUCCGCUGAUGAUAUAUGGGCCCAAAGAAAGAGUAUUCACUUGUGUCUAAGGAACAUCUAAUUACCAUGCUCACCAACAAUCGUUCAUUAUAAUUAUAACACAGAUCUUUCGUAGCGGCCCACGGAUACAAGCAGUACAAUUGACAGUAACCAGAACAUGCGGUUUGAUUUCUGAGGACAUCCGCUGAUGAUAUAUGGGCCCAAAGAAAGAGUAUUCACUUGUGUCUAAGGAACAUCUAAUUACCAUGCUCACCAACAAUCGUUCAUUAUAAUUAUAACACAGAUCUUUCGUAGCGGCCCACGGAUACAAGCAGUACAAUUGACAGUAACCAGAACAUGCGGUUUGAUUUCUGAGGACAUCCGCUGAUGAUAUAUGGGCCCAAAGAAAGAGUAUUCACUUGUGUCUAAGGAACAUCUAAUUACCAUGCUCACCAACAAUCGUUCAUUAUAAUUAUAACACAUAUCUCUCGUGGUGGCCCUCGAAUACAAGCAAUGCAAUCGAAAAUAACCAGAAUAUGCGGUUCGAUGACUGAUGACAUCUGUAGAUGAUUCGUCGGUCCCAAGGAAGGAUAUUCACUUGUGUCCGAGGAACAUCUAAUUACCAUGCUCAUCGACAAUCGUUCAUUAUAAUUAUAACGCUCGUUCCCCGCUGUGAAUCUGAUAGCAAUAAAGCUGACAACUGCCAGACCCUAGGGUCAGGUCACCCAGAACGUAUGCCGCGGUCAAUUUAUGCGUUCUGAGAAGAAGUUUCUGCCUUGCAGUCCAGUGUGUUCGGUAAACAUUUUCAAUUUGCUGCCUUUCAUACAUUCCACGAAAUGCGCAAGUAAGUAAUAUAAACAUAAUCCUUAUGAUUUAUUUCUUCAUUUGUUAAUGUUGCUUAUAAUGUUAAACGAUUGGUGUGAGGAAAAUGCAGGUUGCUGUAUAGUGCAAAACUUUUAUAGAGAGAACAGUCGUGUUACUUUGUUAUUUUAUAUAGUAGAAAAACAUUUAAGAUCAAACGUAGUUCUUACAAUUAAUGUUAAACCUACUUAAUUCUUAAUUCUUCUGCAUUUGUUGGGAUUCAGAUGUGGUGAUUAAUGCAUGCUUUAUUUAUGAAAUGGCGAAAUAUGAUUCAGCAAUGUUCUCCCGCUCUAAUCAUUUUCUUUUUAUAGAUUUAACAUUGUUUAUUUCUACUCUAUGUUGUCUGUCAUGUAAAUACGGGGCUAUGAAUUUUACACUUCUAUAUUAUUAAUUUAUACAAAAAGUCCUCCUAACCAUACUCUAUCGAAGGCUUUUUCUAUGUCUAACAGAAGCAUUACUAUUGCCAUUUCUUUAGUGAAACUGAUUCAGAUUUCAUCAGCAAUUCUAUCUACCUGUCGUGUACCGUAUUAUAAUAUUCCAUGAAAUACUUUUCCAUGAAACCAAAUUGUAACGAUCCGAAGUUGUGAUGAUCGUUAAAUCCCUUUCAACGAAUUCUCGCUUGAAAACACUUGGAAAUAUCGAGUGUCUCUGUACAUCCCCUUUCAUUGAAUUAACAUACAUCUCUGAUUUCAAGUCUGUAAUUAAUAGAUCUUUGCUCGGACGUAAGUUCGAUCGAACAUCCCGAAAUAACCCGGUAUUCAUCGAUCGGUGGUUAAAGACCAUCACGCGCCACGGUGAACCACUUUAGGGCAGGGUGAAACCACUCGAGAGGACCACGAAAUCUCUCCCCGUUUACAAGAUCCAAGAUCUAAAUUACGUCUUGACGCGAAACUGAUUUUGGGCGGCUACCCCGAACCUCCUUGCGGCCAGGAUUCCCCGGGCGGCCAUUGUGCCUUCCGAUUCGCCGUAUCCUUUCUCUGUCAAUCAGGAGCGGCGGCCCGACAAUGGCCGCGCGGCGACACAUUGUGUAAUUCGGAAUGAAUGCGAGCUCGGCCUCCGGGUAUAAUUGUUUCACGACAGGUCCCGCGUACCGGGGCCGUGGGCAUUAACGUUUAAGAACGGACUGCGCCGCGCCGGUUUCCAGUCCCGAACAAUGGGGGCCACGGUGCGCGUGGUGCGGUCGGAUAUCUCGUUACACCGUAAUCGAGGAAUAAUCGAUCGCAAAGUUGUAGCACAAGGCAAAUUGCUGGGCGUGGUGAGAACGAUCCAGGAAACUCGAGAGGGCGAAAGACAAGGGCGAACCGAACGAGGAAAUCCGAGAUUUUUCUUCCUUUCCUCUCGCGCGCACCCCCUGCCCGCCCCUCCCCCUCGUGUCCUCUCUUUCACCUUAUCUUUCUCCGUCUCUCCGUCCCUGGUACCCCUAAACGUCCUUUAUUUUUCGUGGCCAUGUAAAAAGUUCUUAUUCAGACCCGUGUUCACCCUCGAUCAAGCCGGACGCGCGUGCGCCCUCGCGCCUGUCUUUGCUACCAUCGGGACGUAGUAACAAAGAUUCGCUUCACAAACACAGGGAUCCCUGAAUCGAGUUAAUUAGAGGUCCGAACAUCUCCGUUCGGCUCUUCUUCCUCUUUUCUGUAGCAGUCUCUCGUUGUCGAGAAUCGGGGUCGAU